rnacentral:tRNA from 1 species
AAGGAUUUAGUUAAAACAUAACAUUAUCUUGUCAUGAUAAAAUUAAUAUUAUAUAUUAAUCUUUA